GGGAGGGAAAGGUAUAGGAGGUGGGGGUGGGGGUUUCAGCCAGUCUCUUUCCCAGCAGUGAUGCCGUCUCAGCCACCAGUUCUCUGCCAGCGGGGUCAGCACAGGCAUGGUGAGGGGGAGAGGAAGGAGCUGUCUGUAACACUGCUUAACCUCUGGCACGUGGAGUCUGAUUGCCUGGGUCAGCUGCUAUCUGUGUCUUGUUUAGCAUCCUUUCUCCUGUGUGUCCUGCCCUCUGGCCCAUCUGUCCAGCUGAUGGUGGGGUUUGCAAGCAGAGGGAUGCCUGUCUCCCAGCUCUGGCUGUGUUGCUCUAGCCCAACAGAUGCUUGGAACAAAUAAACAGGCCAGCAAGUCUUGGAGAGGUUGUCAGGCUGAGUUGAGACAUGCUGUCCCUUUUGAAAGCUGUUGAUGUACUUAGAAGGAUCAGCAUCUGGGGCCAGAUCAUCUCUGACUCUACAUUAAAGCCAGAGUUCUCAUCUUCUUCAUAAUGAUGGAUUCCAUAGGUUUAACUUUGGCUCAUGUGAGUAAGUAGCCUGUUUAUGCACUGUGGCCCUGAGGAACCAGAAAUCCAUUAGUGCAACUAUGAAAACCUUCUGAAGAACAGGAUAUUCAUCCUUCUGAGAUGUCAUGUUGGAGCAUUGCAGACUGCUCUUCUCCCUUCUGCCUUUACAUACAAGAUGCCUGUUGCUGAGAACACUUGUUCCCACUUCUCUAGCAGGCAAGGAUCUGGGCAGGACAACAACCACAGAUUUUUAACUCUUUGAAGGCAGGACUGUGUAAAAAUAAACACAACUAGAUCUGUUACUUGGCAGUGGAAGACUGGAUUAAAGAUGGAUGUCUGUGUACCCAAGGGUGCCCAUUUCUUAAGCAUGAAUGUGCUUUCCUUUUGGAAUAAAGAAGAAGGUAGCUGGGGAAAGACUGGAAAUUAACAGGUUUCAGUGAUGCAGCGGAGGACAAGGCUGACGUCAGGAUGAUGCCACUGUGUAGAUUCUAAAGGAGGCUCUUCUAUUAAUGCCAUUACUACAUCUAGUGCUGGUAUCUGCAUUGUGCUAGGUAUUUUUGCAUACUUCUUUAUAUUCAAUCAACAUGACAAAGAGGGAAAGUAGGUAUAAUUGCCCUCAUUUUACAAAUGUCAUCACUGAUAGAAAGGUUCAGUAACUUACUCAAGACCACAAAAUUAGGUCUUUUUGAAAAUUAAAAAAAAUUCAAACCCAGGAUAUAAACUCAGGUUUAUUUUAUUCCCAAGCCUAUUAAUUUCAAGUUACAGUUAUUAUCAAACUGUAUGUUUCUUAAGGCAGGAUCUGAGUUGUGUAAUCAUUUAUCCCCAUAGUAGCUUGCCCUUAAGAGGUACUUAGUACAUAUUUUUUGAUGAAUGAUGUUGUACAAAUAAUGGUGUCCUGUUUUAUAGGUUAUGGUUUAAAAAUAGAGGAAGUCUAUAGGACUCUUAGAAAGUAAUUAAGAUAUCUGAGAAGACUAAGAUUGAGAACUUCUUGGAGGUCUAAUUCUAAAUUAAACUUCCAAGUUGGGAUGCAAAAAUAAGGAGGAUGUUUGGAAACAUCCCAUGAUUUAUAUUUACAUAAGCUUCAUAAGGAGAAUGAAUACAGACUGACCUUUGCUUGAGAGCCAUGUGAUGGCCAGAGAAAGCGGCAUGGGUUAACAGCCAAAAGGAAAUCAGCAUUAUACUAAAGCAGUGUUUCUCAAAGUGUGUUCCAGGGAAGGAUAUACCCAAGAAACAAUAUCCAUCAAGAGACUUCUAUAAAAAGAGGAGAUAAUUUAAUACAUAUAGAAGCAUGACAUAGUUCCACGGAUCCCUGAACAAUACAGGGGUUGGGGGCAUUGACCCUUGUGCAGACAAAAAUCUGCAUGUAACUUUUUUUUGAGACAGAGUCUCUCUCUGUCGCCCAGGCUGGAGUGCAGUGUUGUGAUCACAGCUCAUUGCAACCUCAAUCUCCUAGGCUUGAGCCAUCCUCCCACCUUAGCCUCCCAACUAGCUGGGACUACAGUAGCACACCACCAUGUCCAGCUAAUUUAAAAAAAAUUUUUUUUUAGUAGAGACAAGGUCUCACUAUGUUGCCCAGGCUGGUCUCGAACUCCUGGCCUCGAGCAAUCCUCCCAAUUCGGCCUCCCAAAGUGCUGGGACUAUAGGGUGAGCCACCAUGCCCAGCCUGCAUAUAACUUUUGACUCCCCCAGAACUUACCUACCAAUAACCUACUGUUGACUGGAAGCCUUAUGGAUAACAUAAAUAGUUGAUUAACACAUAUUUUAUAUCUUAUAUGUAAUAAUAUCGGAUUCUUACAAUAAAGUAAGUUAGAGAAAAGAAAAUGUAAUCGAGAAAAUUGUAAGGAAGAGAAAAUAUAUUUACUAUCCAUUAGGUAGAAGUGGAUCAUUAUAAAGGUCUUCUUCCUCCUUGUCUUCACAUUGAGUAGGCUGAGGAGGAGAAAGAGGAGAGGUUUGUUUUGCUGUUUCAGAGGUGGCAGAGGUAGAAGAAGAAAGUCCACAUGUAAGUAGACUUGCACAGUUCAAACCUGUGUUGUUCAGCGGUAAUCUGUAUACUCUUGUGGUAUAAAUGAACACAUUAAAGGCUGAGAAUUCUUAUAAUUAAAAAAAAAUCCUAACCAAAAAAAAAAAGCAAAAACAAACAAACAAAAAACACCAGUAAAAGGAGUGGGGUGUGGUAGGUGCCUUAGGAUUGACAUUACUAAAAGGUUCGUCAAAAUGUUGCCUUCCAAAAUUAAAGAACAGUCUGUACUAUAAAAUACAGAAGUUGAUUGCAUCCUUCCAAAUGACAGUAUUAACUUUAUUUAACGAGUAUUCCCAAAUAUAGUUAACACUUACUUUUACCCAUAGCCCCUCCCAUUUCAUCACUUAUUUAUGUGCCAAGGAACUAGUGGUUAUCAGAGCCCACUGAGAAAUGCUAGGAAAGAAACUGAGUGGUAGUUUUACAAAAAUCCUUUUUUCACCUUUUCUUAUCUUCUUAUUUAUAUGUUUUUGUGUUUGUUGAUGGAGGUUGGGUUAUUUCAGGUAUUCAUUCAAUAAAUAUUUACCAAAUACCUAUAAAGCAUAAGACACAGUGGUACAUUCUCUGAGUUAGUAGAUUCUUGAUUUCUCUUUGUCUCAUGAGGAAGGGAAGAGGAAGGGGUUGGGGAGAUAGGUGUGCAGGAGUGUUGGGAAUCAUACCUAAUUAAGACGUCACCAUAUCUCCAGCCAUCAGAAGUUAUUCAUGCGCAAAUAACAAAAGCCUAAAUCUCUAUUGCCAUAAAGGAGUUCAGUAUUUUAUUAGGGUUUCCUCCUCAAGUAAUUUUUGGAAACUGUUAUGGUUUGAAUGUAUUCUUCAAAGUUCAUGUGCUGGAAACUUAAGCUCCAAUGUAACCAUAUUGAGAAGUGGGACAUUUCAGAGGUGACUAUCCCCUCAUGAAUGAGUUAAAGCCUUUAUCUUGGGAGUGGGUUAGUUAUCACAGGAGUUGGUUUCUGUUAAAAGGAUGAGUUUGGCCUUCUUCCUCUCUCUCUCUCGUGUGUACACGCAGGCAUGUGCUUUCUCAUCAUGUGAUGUCAUCUGCCAGGUCAUGAUGCAGCAAGAAGGCCCUCACCAGAUGCCACCCCUCCAGAACCAUGAGCCAAAUAAAUGUCUGUUCUUUAUAAAUG
rnacentral:lncRNA from 10 species